rnacentral:rRNA from 1 species
UACAGGGGGUGCAAACGUUGCUCGGAAUUAUUGGGCGUAAAGCGCGCGUAGGCGGCCACUUAAGUCGGAUGUGAAAGCCCCUGGCUCAACUGGGGAAGUGCACCCGAAACUGAAUGGCUUGAAUGCAAAAGAGGGUCGCGGAAUUCCCGGUGUAGAGGUGAAAUGCGUAGAUAUCAGGAGGAACACCGGCGGCGAAGGGCGGACCCUCGUGGAUCGUUGCUGACGCUGAGACGGCGAAAGCGUGGGGAGCAAACAGG